CGGGGCCACGGGGAGCUGAGCGGCUGCGCGAGGGAAAGCCCCGCCCCUGCCUGCGCUGAGGCUGCCGAGCCUGAGAAAUCCCAAAAGGGGCCUCGGCGGCGGGCUCUGGAUCCCGCUGGGGGGCUCUGACCCUGCCAAGUCUGGGCACUCCGCUGCGGGCCUCCUGGCUCCCGGGGUUCAUGGCUGUUAUGGUUCCUGGCUGUCGGGGCUCCUGGCUUUCGGGGCUCCCUGGCUGAAGGGGCUCCUGGCUGUAGGGGCUCCUGGCUAUGGAGGUUCCCGGUUAUAAGGGCUUCUGGAUGUAGUGGAUUCUGGCCGUCGAGGUCCCUGGCUGUCGGGGCUCCUGGCCGUAAUGGCCCCUGGCUGUCGGGACCCCUGGGUGUCGGGGUUCCUGGCUGUCGGGACCCCUGGGUGUCGGGGUUCCUGACUGUAGGGGCUCCUGGGUGUUAGGGUUCCUGGCUAUAGCAGGGGCUCCUGGGUGUCGGGGUUCCUUGCUGUCAGGGCUCCUGGUGGUAGAGGCUUCUUGCUGUUGGCUUCCUGGCUGUCGGGGUGACUGGGUGUCAGGGCUCCUGGUGUUAGGGUUCCUGGCUUCCUGGCUGUAGUAGGGGCUCCUGGGUGUCGGGGUUCCUUGCUGUCAGGGCUCCUGGUGGUAGAGGCUUCUGGCUGUUGGGGUUCCUGGGUGCCAGGGCUCCUGGGUGUCAGGGUUCCUGGCUGUCAGGACACCUGACUCCUGAGGCUCCUGGCUUUUGGGGCUCCAGACCUUCCUUGCACUUCCUGUGUCUCCUGGGUCUGUAAUAGAAGGGGCCGGUGGAGGGGUGGGGGUGAGACAUGUGAGUGAAAGUGAAGUCAGAUGUGUACAUUUAGGAAGCUGAAAUUAUCAAAAAUGAAAUUGCAUAAAGGUGAGGAAGAACUGGGAGGUCUGGGAACAGAAGUGGUAGAUCUUGAACUUCAACACAGACAGGGUGCUUCCAAUUCAGUCCUGGGACCUGAACCCGGAGCCCACAGCAUGUCCCUCCUCCCCUGGCCCUCCGCGCGUGCCGCCACUCAUUGCAGCCCCACAGAGCCAUCACCCAUUGUAACCUCAGAACAGAAGGGGCUGGGUGGGUCCACAGAUCCCUGCACUCCUCCCGUCUUGCCUCCUUGGAUGAUCCCUGGCUUGUCUUUCUCCCUUGGGAAUCCCCCUGAUGUUGGCUCUCCAUGUGGUGUACUCUGUACCCCACACCCCAUGCUUCCCACACACCUUCUGGCCUGAGUAAUCUCCAUGCCCCCAGUGACAUCAACCUCCAGGGAAACCUCAAUAGCAAGCCCAGAACCCUCCCCUGCAUCCCAGAGCCUAGCAUCCACUAACUUUGAGGAGGGGCCAUCUUUUAUUGGAUAUCCCCAAACCACACUGGGCCUUCCCUCCAAAGUGCCUCUCCUCUUGGUUCCCAUCUCAGGGAACACCAUCGCUCCCACCCAGACACUUGGGGCUCCUUCUGACUGGUCCCCCUGCUGUCCCUGGGCUUUGAGGCCAAGCCCCCACAGAGCCUUCCCUACUAGCCAGGUGUUCCCAGGCCUCCUUUGCUUGCUUCUACCGUGGCCUGUCUCAUGUUGUAGAACUGUGCUUGUCCUCCAUUGGCCUGUGUUCUUAAAGGGCAGGAGCUGAUCUGUGUCUCAGUGCCUGGAUCAGAGUCAGACACAUAGGAGGUACUCAGUCCAUGCUAACAGCUGCCAGAGGACUGGGCUCACUGGAUUGCAAAGACUUCGUACGAGAAAAGUAGCAUAUCAUUCAUACUUUUUAUAUUGAUUACAUGUUGAAAUGAGGAUAUUUGGAUAUAUUCGGUUUUCUGAAAUAUAUUAUUUAAAUUGGUCUCUUUUACCUUUGGCUCCUGAGAAAUGUCUAAUUUCAUAGGCAACUUUCAUUCGUGGCCCUUGAAUUUUCUUGGGCAGCACUACUGUGGUGUUUAAAAGCCUUUUGGAGCCUGUCACAUGUAUACCUCACCUGGAGAAAUACAUGGUAUUGAACACGGUAAAUUGUGUUAUUUAAAAUGCAACAGGAGAGUGAUGAGGAACCAUUUUGUAUCUUGCCUGUGGUGGUGAGAACACAAACUAAACAUGAUAAAAUUGUAUAGAACUUGGCUGGGUGCUCUGACUCACACCUGUAAUCCCAACAAUUUGGAAACCCCAGACAGGAGGAUCACUUGAGCCGAGGAGUUGGAGACCAGCCGGGCAACAUAGGAAGACCCGGUCUCUACAAAAAUAUAUAUAUAUAUAUGAGUCAGGCAUGGUGGCUCACACUUGUGGGCCCAGGUAGGUGAGAGGCUGAGGUGAGAAGAUCACUUGAGCCUGGGAGUUGGAGGCUGCAGUGAGCCAUGAUCCUGCCACUGCUACUGCCCACUAACCUGGGCGACAGAGCAAGACCCUGUCUCAAAAACAAAAACAACGCACACACACACACACACGCAUGCACGCGCGCACGAGUACAAGUAAAACUGGGAAAAUCUGAAAAAGAUCAGUCGAUUGUUUAUAAAUAUCAACAUCCUGGUUGCAGUAUUACAGUUUUGCAAGGUGUUGUCAUCGGAAGAAAGUGUACACAGGAUCUGUAUUAUUUCUCACAACUGCAUGUGAAUCUACAGUUGUUUUAAACUAAAAAGUUUAGUUAAAAACCAUGUAAAUAAGACUUUAAAGUUUACUAUGAAAAGAAUGCAAUAGGAGGGAAAAAAGACACCAUGUCAAAAAAAAAGAAAAAGAUACCAUGUCAUAAAACAAGAUACACAUUCUGGUUAUCACUUUUUUUCUUUUCUUUUCUUUGAGAUGGAGUUUUGCUCCUGUUGGCCAGGCUGGAGUGCAAUGGCGUGAUGUCGGCUCACCGCAACCUCCACCUCCCGGGUUCAAGCGAUUCUCCUGCCUCAGCCUCCCAAGUAGCUGGGAUUACAGAACUGACUGGGAGAACCCAGCAAGGCUGGUCUGGUGUUCAGAUUCUUCCUGGCCUCUGUGCAGCCUCCUUCCUUCUGGGUAAAGGAGCAAGACCCUCUGUGGAAUGAGGUCUUAUGAACUACACUCAAGCAAGACGGAAUCUCGUUCUGACGCCCAGGCUGGAGUGGAGUGGCAUGAUCUCGGCUCACUGCAACCUCCGCCUCCCGGGUUCAAGCAAUUCUUCUCCCUCAGCCUCCCAAGCAGCUGGGACUACAGGCGUGUGCCACCACACCUGCAUUUAGCCAUUUAGCCAAGUUCUAUUCCGUCUUGGUGGUGGUGGUGGGGUUCCCAUAGCCUGAAGAAUAAGGGCCUGGGGCUCUGGGCCUGGGGACUGAAGCUUAGGCCUUGGAGACCUGAAGCUCCAGUGGAAGAUGCUUUCCUGGACUUUCCUGGCAGCAAAAAAAACUUCACCUCUUGCCUAUGAAUUGCCUGUAUUUUAAAGGGUGUGUGUGUGUGUGUGUGUGUGUGAGAGAGAGAGAGAGAGAGAGAGAGAAAUUGAGGUGUAAUUAUUUUGCUGGGUGAUGACAACAAACAUUUACUGCUCCUAAACAGGCAAGGAAAUGAUUUAGCCAUGAACUUUUCAUGAUGCCUCAUUCCCUCCUGUGGUCCCGUGGUCCUCAGGCUGCGCAGUGGGAGAAGGGGGGGUGGGGGGCCACAAAUAACCCACGUGGAAAGGAAUGUGGGGUCAGCCUCAGGAAAACUGGGAGGGGAGGUCCCACCUGGUGGGGGUCUUUGUAAACCCUACCAAGGGAAGCCCAGAAACACAAAGAGGUGCAGGGAGAGAAAGAAGGAGGAGGUGUUUUAAAGAGUAAAGCCUGGCAUUAGAAAGUGUUAUUCGAGUAAAAUGGCCAACGUUUCCUUUCUUUUAAGAGCGACUCUUAAAUUCCAAUUACUCCGCCCCCAAAGACCAGUUGAGAAUAACCCCAACUGGAGGGAAUUAAUUUCCUUAGGAAUUUCACUCUUACAAGAUUAAUGGAGCCCCCCUGCAGAGAAACGGUAAAACUGUAAGUACAGUAGAUUUGCACCUGAAGGAUACAUAUUUUAAUUUCUGUUCUCAAGCUGCGAUAACAUCUUCUCCAGCUACUAUAAAAAGCAUAAAUGAGCACCCGCACGUCUGCUGAGAACUUGCAACCCCAGGCUCCCCGGGAGCAGCCCCGCGCCGACCCUCCACGUUGCUCGCCUGGGUGCGGCGUGGGCGCGGGGAUGGGAAGGCGCGGGGAUGGGAAGGCCCAGGGCAAACAGCCUCCCCGCGAGCCGGGUCGACCCAGCCCAGAGCAGAACCCCUGGACCAGAUUAUCUUAAGUCGACCCCUACCCCGCCCCCAGCCCUGUCACCCACCGUGGCACCGCCCUCCCGCGGGGACAAUUGGCCUGGACCAAGAAUGGGGAGCCUGAACAGUGGCCGGUCUCCCACCCGCUCCUCCGGAGCCUGCAGGGGGGUUCAGCCUCUGUCCAGCAGACUUCCUGGCCCCAAGAACGGGCCUUGGGAAGGGGCUCCCCUGACUCCAAGUUGACAGCAGCCCGUCCCUUCUCCUUAGCCCAAGCCACUCUGGCAAUGGGGACCUGCCUCCCUCACGCUAACCAAGGACCGGUCUGGGAUGGGGAGUUGGAGAUGGGCUGUGAGGACUCUUCUCUCAGCCCUUAAGAGUCCAGAACUUAUCUGGGAACACAUCAGCCAAUUUUCUGUUCCCUUUCUUGCCAGGAACUGCUUUUAUUGGAAGAAGUCUAUGUAUAUGCAUGCCAUAAAGGUUGUUUAUGCUGUCAUAGCUAGAUUUUUAUUGGUUGUAUUUUUGCUGCACUUGCUUGAAAAAUAAUUAUUUUCAAAGAAAAGAAGAAUUACAUAUCCAGUAAACUAAAUAAGACUCACUGUUUAUUAGAGACCUCUGACAGCUCCUCAAACACGAAAAAAGAUUUCCAAGUAGUGGAUGGACAAUUUAUGUGUAAGUUUAUUUGUAAAACAGAUUUCAAAACAUACUUCAUCUUGACUCUGCCAAUAAAAAUACAUUCCAUUUCUUUUCAGAAGUAUGUCUUAUCUGAUGGCUUCACAGUAAUCUGGUUUCCCCUAAGAAGCUAAGACUAUCUGGGCUAUUUGAGAUCCUGCAAGAUUUAUCAAGACUGUACUAGCCAUAUGAAAGCAUGUUAACACAGGGAGGGAGAGAGGAAAAGCCCUCCACAUGUUAUGACUGGCAUACAUGCUUCCAAAGCAUCGUUACUAACCGAAGGCCCAGUUCCUGAGGCGAUCACCCCAGACACACUGAAUGCAAUUUGUUGGUCACUGAGAGAACAGCACAAGAAAAACCCACCCCCAUGACUUGAUUACCUCCCACAACACGUGGGAAUCAUGGGAGCUACAAUUCAAGAAGAGAUUUGGGUGGAGACACAGCCAAACCACGUCACCAGACUGCCUCUUCAGGGAGUGAAUCACAAAUGUAUUCCUGACCACCCUGUUUUCUCCCCUCUUGAAUCAGAGAUGGGGGUCGCCUAUAUUUCCAAGGCUGGUCUCCAACGCCUGGGCUCAAAAGAUCCUCUGCCUUGGCCUCUCAAAGUGCUGGGAUUACAGGUGAGCACCACCAUGCCUGGCCUAAAAUGUUCUUUUUUUAAGAGAUAGCUGUAACAAUCUUUAACUAUUUAGCAAUCCUUUUUUGGGGGAAAGGUUGUCUCUUGUUUGUCAGCAAAUGUAGUAUGUGAGUUUACAUGUCUUUGCUUUCAUUGUAUAAUUUCAAAUAGUCAGAAAAUAUUGCAUUCACUGGCAAUCAAUUUAUUUUGAUUGAUAAAAAGGGGUUAAUA